rnacentral:rRNA from 1 species
CCUACGGGAGGCAGCAGUCGAGAAUUAUUCACAAUGGGGGAAACCCUGCUGCUGCGACGCCGCGUGGGGGAAUGAAGUUCUUCGGAUUGUAAACCCCUUUCAUGUGGGAGCAAAUUAAAAAGAGCGUACCACAAGAGGAAGAGACGGCUAACUCUGUGUCAGCAGCCGCGGUAAUACAGAGGUCUCAAGUGUUGUUCGGAAUCCCUGGGCGUAAAGUGGGCGUGGGCUGGUUAGUAAGUCGGGUGUGAAAGGCUCGGGCUUAACCCGCGGACGGCACAUGAUACUGCGAGACUAGAGUAGUGGAGGGGGAACCGGAAUUCUGGGUGUAGCAGUGAAAUGCGUAGAUAUCGAGAGGAACACUCAUGGCGAAGGCGGGUUCCUGGAGAUUAACUGACGCUGAGGCACGAAGGCGAGGGGAGCGAAAGGGAUUAGAUACCCUUGUAGUC